rnacentral:rRNA from 1 species
UACAGAGGGUGCAAGCGUUGUUCGGAAUCAUUGGGCGUAAAGGGCGUGUAGGCGGUUUGUUAAGUCAUGUGUGAAAUCCCUCGGCUCAACCGGGGAACGACGCAUGAAACUGACAAGCUAGAGUACGGAAGAGGCGAGUGGAAUUCCUGGUGUAGCGGUGGAAUGCGCAGAUAUCAGGAGGAACACCAAUAGCGAAGGCAGCUCGCUGGGACGUUACUGACACUGAGGCGCGAAAGCGUGGGGGAGCGAACAGG